CCUCAAUUUGUCCUUUUGGGAGGCUGCCGAGGAGAGAGAAGGGAGGAAGAAAGAGGGAUUAGAUUUGAUGGGACAACUACCUUAUUGAUAUGGAUUCAGAAAGGGACCAUUGCUUUCCUGAGCCUGGGUCCCCUUUGUUUACACCCUUGCCACAAGAAUGCAGUUUUGAACCAGACCAGAGAUGCCCAUUCUGUUGAUGAGACUAAAAAAGAUGAGUCAGAAAAUCUGCCUUUUAUCUUAGAAAGGGUUUGAUCUGGCAAAAUGCCUUUAAGAAGACUCUUCAAAGUAAGUUUUUGGGCCUUUGGCGGGCAGAGUCCCUCAAGCCCUGAGAUGGAUUCAGAAAGGGACUAUCGCUUCCCUGGAGCCUGGUGCCCUUUGUUUACCAUAAGAAUGCUGUUCCCAACCAGACUGAUGCUGCCAAUUCCGUUGAUGAGACUGAAGAGACGGGCAGAAAGAACAUUUCAUUGAGCCAGGAUGUCCCUCAGAAGACUGGUCAAACAUUUCUGGAUGGUAUCAGCUCCGCAUCUGGGCCAGGAUGAAAGGAAUGAGAUGCCCAUUUGUGAGGAGUCCUGUGAAUCCUGGAUAAGGAGUAAAAGGCAGGAAUAUGCAUCCUGACCAGGGGAUGGGAAGCUGCCAGUCUGGAAAUACUUUGGAGCCAGCAGUCCCAAGAACUGAGUGCUCCAGAUGUAGCUCAAGAGUCCUCCUCCAUGGACUCAUUGGAUGCUUGGGUGAGGAAGAAAAAGCAGGAGUAUUGUCCUCCUGUGAAGAGGAGGGGAUCAGGAUUCCAACCAAGUCUCCUCUCUUUCUUUUACAGCAUUUCUGGCUGGUAUCAGCCCUGCAGCGCAAACCGGAUGCAAAGAAUGAGGGCCCCAUUCAAGCAGAAGCCUGUGAAUCCUGAGUAAGGAGUGAAAUGCAGUGCACCCUGACCAGGAGAGGAGACAAGGAAAGUAUUGACUCGCUUUAGAGCCAACAGUCCAGGAAUUGACUUUUUGGGUGGGAGCUGGGUUUUUUUUUUGGGCUGUGGGAGUCUUUGGUUUUAUGUUCUUACAUAUGAUUUUUUUUGUUUUUCUUAGGGAACCACCACCACUGGAGAUAGAAGAUUUGGAGGAUGCCUAAGGUGGAGCAACGUGGAUGAGACUGAAGUGAGUUGGGCUUGUGAUCCUGAGAGUACAAUUGAGAAGAAAAAACAUGUUCAAGGAGAAACUCCAUCUUGGAUCCUGCUCACGUUAUCCUCUCCAUGACCUACCUGGCUGAAGGUUAUCCUCCAUCUCUUCCUGGGACUGCUGGUUCCAUCGUGUGCCCAUACUCACCGAUGUUCCUCCUCCCCUAGUCAGGGUGUCCUGUGAACGAAAGGACUCUGCUGGAAUGGGGCCCACAGUCAUCAUGGCUUGGCUUUUACAGAAAUGCUAUAAAGAGACUGUACAUAUUGUUGUCAGUCAAGGACUAUGUUUUAAUCUAAUGUUCAUAAUUUUAUUGUUAAAUUUUGUUAUUGAUUGUGCUGUAUUUGGUGUUUUCUAUUUAUUGAUGUGUUAUUGUUUAUCCAAUUU